AACGAACGCUGGCGGCAUGCCUAACACAUGCAAGUCGAACGAUACCUUCGGGUCUAGUUGCGCACGGGUGCGUAACGCGUAGGAACCUGCCCUUAGGUUCUGAAUAACUCCCCGAAAGGGGUGCUAAUACCGGAUGAUGUCUUCGGCCCAAAGAUUUAUCGCCUUUGGAUGGGCCCGCGUUGGAUUAGCUAGUUGGGAGGGUAAAAGCCUACCAAGGCGACGAUCCAUAUCUGGUCUGAGAGGAGGAUAAGCCACACUGGGACUGCGACACGGCCCAGGAUCCUACGGGAGGCAGCCGUGGGGAAUAUUGGACAAUGGGCGAAAGCCUGAUCCAGCAAUGCCGCGGGAGUGAUGAAGGCCUUAGGGUUGUAAAGCUCUUUUACCCGGGAUGAUAAUGACAGUACCGUGAGAAUAAGCUCCGGCUAACUACGUG
rnacentral:rRNA from 1 species